GCAACCUGCUCGGCACUGGGUGUUCCCAGGGACCCUAGGCCUGGACCCCAAGCCCGGAGAAGAUCUGGGAGAGCAUGGAAGGCCACUUUGGUAGACUUGGCUGGCCUUUUGUUUUAUUUUACAUUGUAAUGGUCACUUGGAAGUGAGCUCUGUGGCAGAGAGGAAAGGGGAGGACAUUGGUGAAGAUCUGGGUCCCUCGAGGUGAGGGGAAAAUUCGGGCAGAACUGAAGAAGACAUGCGGGCACCAAUGGUGGUCAACACGAAGUCCAGGGAGUUGGCUACUGAACAAGGCCUCUUGCCUCUAUGAAGGGAUCUUCAAGAUGGCGGAGGAGUAAGAUGUGAAGAUCACCUUCCUCCCUACAAAUACAUCAAAAAUACAUCUACAUGUGGAACAACUCCUACAGAAUACCUACUGAACGCUGGCAGAAGACCUCAGACUUCCCAGAAGGCAAGAAACUCCCCACGUACCUGCAUAGGGCAAAAGAAAAAAGAAUAAACAGAGACAAAACAAUAGGGAAGGGACCUGCACCCCUGGGAGGGAGCUGUGAAGGAGGAAAGGUUUCCACACAGUAGGAAGAUCCUUCAUUGGUGGAGAUGGGGAGGUGGGUGCGGGGGAAGCUUCAGAGCCAUGGAGGAGAGCACAGCAACAGGGGUGCAGGGGGCAAAGUGGAGAGAUUCCUGCACAGAGGAUCGGUGCCGACCAGCACUCACCAGCCUGAGACGCUAGUCUGCUUACCCGCUGGGGUGGGCAGGUGCUGGGAGCUGAGGCUCGGGCUUCAGACGUCAGAUCCCAGGGAGAGGACUGGGGUUGGCUGCGUGAACACAGCCUGAAGGGGGCUAGUGCACCACAGCUAGCUGGGAGGGAGUCCAGGAAAAAGUCUGGACCUGCCUAAGAGGAAACAGACCAUUGUUUUACGGUGCAUGAGGAGAGGGGAUUCAGAGCACUGCCUAAACGAGCUCCAGAGACUGGUGCAAGCCACGGCCACCAGUGUGGACACCAGAGGUGGGCAUGAAACACUAAGGCUGCUACUGCAGCCACCAAGAAGCCUGUGUGCAAGCACAGGUCACUAUCCACACCUCCCCUCUCGGGAGCCUGUGCAGCCUGCCACUGCCAGGGUCCUGUGAUCCAGGGACAACUUCCCCAGGACAACACAUGGCGUGCCUCAGGCUGUUGCAAUGUCACGCCAACUUCUGCCACUGCAGGCUCACACCACAUUCCGUACCCCUCCUCUCACCUGGCUUGAGUGAGCCAGAGCCCCUUAAUCAGCUGCUACUUUAACCCUGUCCUGUCUGGGCGGGAACAGACGCCCUCAGGUGACCUACAUGCAAAAGAGGGGCCAAAUCCAAAGCCGAAACCCAGGAGCUGUGUAAACAAAGAAGAGAAAGGGAAAUUUCUACAAGCAGCCUCUGGAGCAGCGGAUUAAAUCUCCACAGUCAACUUGAUGUACCCUGCAUCUGUGGAAUACCUGAAGAGACAGCACAUCAUCCCAAAUUUGAGGUGGUGGACUUUGGGAGCAACUAUAGACUUGGGGUUUGCUUUCUGCAUCUAAUUUCUUUCUGGUUUUAUGUUUAUCUUAGUUUAGUAUUUAGAGCUU